GACGAACGCUGGCGGCGUGCCUAAUACAUGCAAGUUGAGCGCUGAAGGUUGGUACUUGUACCGACUGGAUGAGCAGCGAACGGGUGAGUAACGCGUGGGGAAUCUGCCUUUGAGCGGGGGACAACAUUUGGAAACGAAUGCUAAUACCGCAUAAAAACUUUAAACACAAGUUUUAAGUUUGAAAGAUGCAAUUGCAUCACUCAAAGAUGAUCCCGCGUUGUAUUAGCUAGUUGGUGAGGUAAAGGCUCACCAAGGCGAUGAUACAUAGCCGACCUGAGAGGGUGAUCGGCCACAUUGGGACUGAGACACGGCCCAAACUCCUACGGGGGGCAGCAGUAGGGAAUCUUCGGCAAGGGACGAAAGUCUGACCGAGCAACGCCGCGUGAGUGAAGAAGGUUUUCGGAUCGUAAAACUCUGUUGGUAGAGAAGAACGUUGGUGAGAGUGGAAAGCUCAUCAAGUGACGGUAACUACCCAGAAAGGGACGGCUAACUACGUG
rnacentral:rRNA from 1 species